rnacentral:rRNA from 1 species
UCAGACGAUGCGUCAUGCAUAUCAAUAAGCGGAGGAAAAGAAACUAACAAGGAUUCCCCUAGUAACGGCGAGUGAAGCGGGAAGAGCUCAAAUUUGAAAUCUUAAAGGGUUUCCCUUUACGAAUUGUAGUUUAAAGAAGUGUUUUCUGUUGAGGUUUUGGUAAAAGUUCUUUGGAAUAGGACAUCAUAGAGGGUGAGAAUCCCGUAUUUGACCUUUACUUUCAACUUUGUGAUACACUUUCAAAGAGUCGGAUUGUUUGGGAAUGCAGUCCAAAAUGGGUGGUAAAUUUCAUCUAAAGCUAAAUAUUGGCGAGAGACCGAUAGCGAACAAGUACCGUGAGGGAAAGAUGAAAAGAACUUUGAAAAGAGAGUUAAACAGUACGUGAAAUUGUCAAAGGGGAAGCGUUUGACACCAGUGUUGUUUUUCUGAAAAUCAAUUAAAGAACUGUUUAUGCUAAGUUGUUUAGACUUUAUCAGCUAACUGUUUAGUUUUGAGCUUUUCUUUAAUGCACUUUUCAGUUAACAAGUCAACAUCAAUUUCUUUUGCUGUAAAAAAGCUUGAGGAAGGUGGCUUGAGAUUCGUCUUAAGUGUUUAUAGCCUCUUGCCUAUGCAGUCGGAGAGAUUGAGGUCUGCAGCGUAGAUCCUUCGGGGCUAAAUGCAUUUGUGCUAAGUUAUAGCAUUUUAUGGACAACUUGUUGACUAUGAUUUGUCUUGUAGCUUACUCGCUUAUGUUAUUUUACCUACGCUUAGGAUGUUGAAUCUGUGCGAGACUAC